AUGACAAUCCACUCCUACCUUGAGAUUCUCAAUCCAUACUGGUUCUCUUCCGCGUUCCGGCCCCGCCCUAGAAAAAUUCCCAAUCUCUCCAUUGAAAGAGAAGAGCAGGAAGAUAACAUCGAUCUCCAUCACGGAGUGGAUGCUAGCAAUAUUAACGGCCCUGAAAAAGGUAGAUAUACCAUGAUCAAAGAUUGACAUGACCACCCUCUAAGAUUGUAUGGCAAACCACUUCCGUGCUUUGGCUGUGGGAUCGAGUGGUUUUCAGUCAGGGCAAGGAGUUCCUCGAGCUACUCGUGGAGUAAUAGUUUUUUAAACGAGAUCUGGGGCCAACUUUUCUUAGAGUGCCAAGUCAAAUUUUCUUUUCGCAGAUUUUAGUUUUGGGCUGGUGAUGGGUGGUGGGUCUUGAAUAAGCCGAUGGCUUGUUUGUUGGUGUAUGGCUGGUGGGGAGGUGCUCGUGAGGAUGCAGGUGGUUUUGCUCUGUUUAGUGUUUGUAUUUCAAAUUUUCAAUUUCAAAUUUUGAACGUUUUGGAACUUGAAUAUAUCUUUUGAAUUUUUAAAAUUAUUGGGUUGGAACGAUC